UCUGGGACCCAGGCAUCCCGGUGGACGUCGGGUUGAUGGCCCAGGCGAUCCAGCCGUCGGAUUUGGAGGGUGGCGAGAUGAAGGCGAUAGAGAGAGUGGAGUUGGCGGGGUCGUAGGUCCAGUGGAGGAAGGAGCUGAGGACGGGGAGGUCGGCGCAUUUCGAGUAGAGCUUGUUGUUGGCGAAGGUUUGGGAGGUGCAGGUGAGGGAAAGCGCGGGUGAGAUAAGCAAAAGGAGGGUGAGCGGUAGAAAUAUUGAGAGAGAAGAGGAGGAGGAAGAAGAAGCCAUGGAUGAGUAAACUGCUAAUGGUGGUUGAUGAAUAAAGGCUUACUACUAAUUUUGGCAGAAUUUAUAGUGACAGUUACGACAGUGAGAAAUCCUCUAUGGGGAAAUUUUUUAUUUUGACGGGACAUGGAUGGUAAAUCACGUAUUUUAUGUAAGUGGUAAGAAAUUUUACUUUUUAAGUGUGACCAAUAUACGAGGUAGUAUACCACAUGUCAUUAUACAAAUGGUGAAAUGUGUGUGUUAAAAUGUUAAUAACUUAAAAAGUAAAAUUUUCUACCACUUACAUAAAAACACGUAAUUACUAUCCAUGUUCCUGUCAUAAUAAAAAAUUUCUCCUCUGUGAUGCUUUCAAAAAAAUGAAAACAACCACCUGAAAGUCGACACGUGGGCAAAACUGAAUAAAUAGUUAUUUAGAAAAUUGGCCAAAAUAAUGGUAUUUCAAAUUUCGAUACCCUAGCUGAAAUGAUCAAAUUUUCAAUAUGUUGUAUAUAUAUGAUUGUUGUAUCAUCACCCUUUGUUCUUUAUGCUGUCCAAUAUGUUGUAUAUAUAUGAUUGUUGUAUCAUCACCCUUUGUUCUUUAUGCUGUCGAUAUUUAAAUUUGGUCAGUCCAACAAUUUAUAAUUUGAUUUUGAUUCAUUUUAGCUAAUUUUAUUUAUUAUUUAUUUGGAUUUUCACCUUUUUUUCUUCGAUUUAGUUCAUAUAUUUUCAUUUAGUAUUGCCAGUCUAAUAUGGCAAAAUUUCGGCCACGUUGGCUUUUCGAAUGAGAGCGUAAUGAAUAGGAAAAUCAACUUAGCUGAAUGGAGUAGCUCAAGUAAAAACAUGACGAAAUUAUAAGGACGAAAUUGAAAUUCAGAUAAAUUUAUCGGGAAUAUUGUUGAAAUUUAACAAAGAAUAAAUAGGAAGCAUGUGUGCGAUGCUUGAAAGUUGAAACAGAACUAAUGUCCUUAAAAAAAUAGUGAGGGGAAUGAGAGAGCCAAAUAACAAUUAACGUAAACUUGUACGAACCUAAUUAAUUAAAUAAAGAUCCAAGAAUCCUGCUUUUCUUCUUCUCUUUUCUGUCUUUUUUGUUUUAAAUUGCUGAAAUCAAUGGAUUCUGUUUUAGACGUCGCUUAAAUUCAGUAAGAGAAAUGCUAAUGAUACUCUCUCAAAAGUGAGAUUCUUUAUGAACUCUUCGUCAUCUUAUAUUUUUUACACAAAAAAUUGUGUCAAAAAUGUGAGAUGGUAAAAAGUCCAUAAAAUCCUACUUUAAAAGUGUCUAUUUAGCCUUUCUCAUUCAGCAAACUUGUCAACUCUUCAAUGUGCAUUAAUUUUGUGGUGAGUGUAAGAGGAAAAUAAUUUAUUUGUAAUGGAUAAUAGAGUAAAAUUAGGGGAAUAAAUAAACCCAAAAAUGAAGAGAACCAACUUUAUGGAGUAAAGGAGAAUGGACUGUAGCGUCAAGCAACUGCAUUUUUGAACAUUUUGUUUUAUUAUUAGAAAAGAAUCUGGUCUAUUUAAUUGGGAAUUUUGGGAUUAUAUGCCAACUACUUUAGCGAUUUUUAGCCUACCAGAUGUGACUGUGAGCUGAUGCAAGGUUUAGGUCAUGGUGAUAUCAAUAUUCCUCUAUAUUUCACAUAUUUUUAGGAAAAUCCAAGUUGUAUAUAAGAAAAUAAGAUUGUGAUAUUUCUUUUUAUUUUUCCCAUACAAAUUGUUCUAGGAGUUGUGGUGAAUAACAAAUUAAAAUUAUUUGGCUAGUAGAUCGGGGGCAUCAGGAACGUAGAUGUUUUUCUUUCGAAGGUAAGAAAAUUCGCUCCGAAGUAGACUUCUCAGAGACAUUUUGGGCUGUAGCUCGCAGGGGGCACAUAUUUUCAGAGUUGCACAAUUUCUGGCAAAGCUUUCCCCCUAAUGGUCAAUCAUUGCCUUUGGCGCCACUGUAUGGAAGAGAUGCACAAACUUGAAUAACUGUAAAAGAAUAAACGAUCGUAUGACCACCUUGUAUUGUAUCGUUGGGGUACCGGCCAAAGACUCACUAACCGUCAAGUUAGUAAGCAAUUUAUGAGACUCAAACAGUAUGCAAGAAAAUAGAGUAUGCGAUAAUUGCGUUAACCCUAGCAAGGUGUAUUAAUAUUUAAUACUAGUCGAGAGAGAGUCCUUUCAGGAUAUAAAAUCCGCAUUAAACCAAGAGAAUGCUAAAGGAUAUCUAGAAGUAAAUAUUGCAUCAUCUUAAAAGUGAGAAAUUUUUAGUUAUGACGGGAACACAAGUGGUACAUCACGUGUUUUAAUAGGAGUGGUGAAAAAUUUUAUUUUUUAAGUUAUUAACUUUUUAGCACACAUAUCCCAUCAUUUGUAUAGUGACACAUGGUGUUGUACCGGUCACAUUGAAAAAUCUCUCCUUAAAAGUAUGAUUACUUACAGCGCACAUCAAUCAUUUGACAAUAAAAAAUUAAGCAAUUGAAUGGUUUCAAUUUACUAGACAACAAAUUGUCCAAGUCCAACGAUCUACAAAAACGAUAACUCUAUAGCUACAAAAACAAAACCAGUAGAAAAAAGAAAUGAAGAAAGACAACGAACCUUGAUGCCUGCAAGGUUGUUCCUGUGAUUCGAUGAUCUAGGCUUCAUAAUAAUCUAAGGGUGUGUUUGUUUGGCCUUACUAACUUUCACUAGACUAGAUUGGAUUAGCUAAUAGUGAAAUUCCGUGUUUGUUGCGUGCACAGACUAAAGUUAAUGAAACUAAAGGGGAUUUGCUCCAACUAUCUCCCUCGCUACAAGGUCUUAGCGAGAGCCCCCCAAGCGCAUGGGACUGCUAAGCCCUUCAUUUGGUAUGUCCUUGUCUCCUCUCAUCCACUAUUUGUUCUUUGUUUUCUUGAGCACCGACAACCACCAUGACACCACCACUUCCAACUUUAGUGAGAUACACCGCUAGCCUAACACCACUUUCUCUCUCUCACCUCGAACCCAGAAUUUCGAACGAGGAAAAUCCCGCUCUAGCAGUCCUCCGAUUCACCUUCGAGGAAUAUCUCACUCUAGCACUCCUUGAUUCAAUUCCUCCGAGUUUCUAGAGGUUAAUCCCUUGAUUUCCUGUAAAAAAAAAAAAAAAAUUGGGGGGGGGGUGGUUAAUUUUGUUUGGUUAGUAGGAAAGCUGAGAAAUUGGUUUCUAUCGAGAUCCAAGGAAAGCAAGCAUCCUUGGCAAUUUUUGGUAGAAUUGUAGAUGAAGAAGAAACAAAACGAAAAGGCUUGAAUUUGUUGCAAGCAUUGAUGGACAAAAAGGGAAAAUUGGUGGUCUGGGAUUUAUUUAGGGAAAUAUGGAGAUCAUGCAGUUUAUGGAACUCUCUAGAUAGAGCCCGUGAAAAUAUCUGAAUCAAAAGUAAUAAAAUAAUUAAAAAGUAGUAAAAAAAUAUUUAGAUUCUAAAAAUAAUUUAGUCUGUGACUUGGUUCGACAUUGCACCAAACGUUUCACUAUUCUUGUCCUGCUUAGUCCAUGCCAAGCCAGUCCAGCUUAAUUCCUUAAGCUAGUCCAGUUCGAGAUAGUCCAUUGCAACAAAUGCACCCUAAAAGAUAAUUUUUAAUUCUUUGUAGGGCUUUUAAACCUCGUGCGGAAUGCAAAGAAAUUAUAUAUUGGAUGUUGGAAUCCCGAAAAUUAAAUAAAAACUAAAAACUACUGAUUAAAGCAUAUUAGGGAAAGGAAAGAAGAGAGCCACUUAAGGACUAGGAUGGGCAUGGCCCGUCCUGAUUUUUUUUUUUAAAAUUGAUUCAUAUAUAACCAGAUGGAGAGUACCAAUUGGUAACUUGAUCUUCCAAUGAUUAUCACUGACCCUCUAACAAUUGCAUGUCAUGAUUGAUCAAUUUUUAGUUGUGACGGGCAGGGGCGAAGCUAGGAUUUCUCGGGGGGAGGGGCAAACCUAAAAGAGUGAAAGGUUAAAGAAAAAUGGAAACAACUAAAUCUUUUUAUAUGGUAAUAUCUUCCAUAAUUAAUCAAAAUGUUUGAAGAAGGAUUUAAGCAUUGUUUCUUAUAGUAUCGUUCCAUUACGUAACUGUAAAAUGGAAAGAAAAAAAAUCUUAGAAUCUUAAUCCUAGAGUACACUAUACUAAUAUGCAUAAUAACUAGUCCAACUAACUAUUCAACCAAUCCAACCAAUUGCAUAAACUCCAAAUAAUUAACCCUAAUAUGCAUAAUAACUAAUCCAACCAACAAUUCAAUUAAUCAAUACCAAUAACUCAAUAAGCAUACAAAUUAUUCAAUAAAUAAAAAUUCAAUUCAACUAAACAUAUGAAUAAGAAUAAUUGUAUACAUUAUGGAAUAAUUCAAUUAAUUAAUUAAGAAUCAAGAAUUCAAAUUUUAAUUUUCACCCUAAAAAAUAAUUUCAUAUCAAUAAUCAUAGAAUCAUAUCAAUAAUCAAUAAUCAAUAACCAAUAACCAUAUUAUUAGUGCAUUACCAUAUGAUUUUAUACGAAUUAAAACUCAUUUGUAUUAAAUAAUUAAUUAGGGUUAGGGAUUAUAAAUUUAGGAAUUAAAAAAUUUACCUAAAGAAUGGCUUUAAUGCUGCAAGCCGCGGCUGGAGAUUGACUGGAGUGGCUGGCUGCGGCUGGUUUUCCGUCCAUUGGCUGCCAAAUUGUUGCGCAACUGCUGGGAAUUUGGGGGCAAGCUUUGUUCUCUGAUUGACAAGGGCAAAGUUGAAAAAGAAAAGGGGGAUAAGCACGGGUCUGAGGAGAGAAGAGGGACACGCGGUCCCUCCAUAUUUUUUUUCUUUUUCAAACUUAUCAAAACGACGCCGUUUGGUUUUUUUUUAUUUUUUAACCAGGUCUAAAACAACGUCGUUUUGGCCUAAACCAGCCCUUCAGGAUGGGCUAAACCAGUUGAGUUUCCGACAAGAUGAUGGGCUAAACCAGCCCUUCAGGCUUAUUUUUCCGGCGAUGGCAGUGGCGGCAACCACUCAUCGCCCCCACGUGGCUUCACCACUGGUGACAGGAACACAAGUGGUACACCACGUGUUUCAAUAAAAGUGAUGGGAGAUUUUAUUUUUUAAGUUAUUAACUUUUUAGCACACAUAUCCCAUCAUUUGUGUCACAUCCCGACCCGGACUCGACUCCGCUGUAGCACGAUAUUGUCUACUUUGGGCCUCGACCACGCCCUCACGGUUUUGUUUCUAGGAACUCACGCGAGUAGAAUUUCCCAGUGGGUCACCCAUACUAGGAUGUUCUGGCCCAUUCUCGCUUAAUUUCAGAGUUCCUAUGGAACCCUAAGCCAGUGAGCUCCCAAAAAGCCUCAUGUUAUAUGAAGCUAAACAUGUACAUAUAAGACAUAGAGGAUCCACUCCCUGGGCGAUGUGGGAUCUCACAAUCCACCCCCUUAGGGGCCCGACGUCCUCAUUAGCACACUUCCGGCCAAGGAUUGGCUCUGAUACCAAAUCGUCACAUCCUGUCCUGGGCUUCACUACAUCCUGGGAUCGACUUCUCUGUAGCACAAUAUUGUCCGCUUUGGGCUUUGACCACGCCCUCACAGUUUUGUUUUUGGGAACUCACAUUAGCAGAAUUUCCUAGUGGGUCACCCAUCUUGGGAUGCUCAAGCCCAUUCUCGCUUAACUUCGGAGUUCCUACGAAACCCAAAGCCAGUGAACUCCCAAAAGACCUUGUUCUAUAUGGAGGUGGACAUGUACAUAUAAGGCAUAGAGGAUCCACUCCCCUGGGCAAUAUGGGAUCUUAUAUCGAUCAACGGAGAGGGGGUGAUGUGCCUUAUAUGUACAUGCCCACCUCCAUAUAGCACGAGACCUUUUAGGAACUCACUGGCUUCAGAUUCUAUUGGAACUCCGAAGUUAAGCGAGUUUAGGUGAUAGCAUUCCCAGGAUAGAAGACCCACUGGGAAGUUCUCAUGUGAGUUCUCAGAAACAAAAUCGUGACGACAUGGUUGGGGCCCAAAGCGGACAAAUCGUGCUACAGCGGAGCCGGUCUGGGAUGUGACAGAAUGGUAUCAGAGCCACUUUGCCGUGUGGUGCGAGUGUGCUGACGAGGACGUCGAGCCCCUAAAGGGGGUGGAUUGUAACAUCCCACAUCGACCAACAGAAAGGGGGUGAUGUGCCUUAUAUGUACAUGCCCACCUCCAUAUAGCACAAGGCCUUUUGGGAACUCACUGGCUUCGGAUUCUAUUGGAACUCUGAAGUUAAGCGAGUUCGGGUGAGAGCACUCCCAGGAUGGGUGAUCCACUGGGAAGUUCUCGUGUGAGUUCCCAGAACAAAAUCGUGAAGGCGUGGUCGAAGCCCAAAGCGGACAAUAUUGUGUUACGACGGAGCCGGUCUGGGAUGUGACAUGACACGUGGUGUACCACCUCGUGUACUGAUCACACUGAAAAAUUUCUCGUCAUGAUGUCCCAAAUAGGAGAAUUUUUUUUUUGUGAUUAGAAUACGGGUGGUAUACCACGUGUUUUUAUGUAAGUUGUGAGAAAUUUUAUUUUUUAAGUUCUUAACUUUUUAACACACAUAUGCCACUAUUUAUAGAGUGACACGUAAUGUAUCAUCCCAUGUUUGGUCACAUUGAAAAAUCUCUCCUGGAGUGCCGUGCAUCUUUCUUUCUCAUGUCGUUAUUCUAUUUAAAAAGUCUUGUCUGGUUUGGCCUGUAAUUGUUGUUACUAUAGCAUUAUUGGAUUCGUGGAGUUCGAUAUCCCAAAUAGAACUCUCAGUUUAGCUAAGUAAUAUGGAUGAACCAAAUCACUCAAAGACUAGUCACUUCCACAAUUUUGUUCAAACAUGUUGGACAUCAAUCUUCCCUCCCUUCUCUGUAUUUUUUUCUAAUUUUCAUUCAUCAGUAAUUUUUAGGCUCAUGAAUCUAGAACUAAAAUAGAUAUAUAUUGUUCCAAUGAGCAAAAACAAAAUCAAAACAUUUUUCUCUCGCUUCUAAGACCCACUACUAAGAGAGGGAAGAUAAAGUUUACUUAUUAGGUUUACUUUUUUUCAUUAUGUCGCCAUUUUGUUGUCAAUAAAUGCCUACCGAGAAGAAGAACGCAUUGAAAUUGAUUGUGUUAAAUUGAAGUUAUUAUGAACUGUGAAAUUGUAAAGAAUUCUUCAUUUUACUCCGAGACCUUUAUUUUUAACUCAUCGAAACUCAAAAAACUAGGAGAUCAAUCAGAAGGGUAUGGAAUUCAUCUUCGGUUUGGUAGGCGAUGGCUUUGCCGUCAUGGCAACGGACACGUUGCCCGUGCACGGCAUACAGAAUCAUGGUGCUCUCCCACAAGCUUAUUGAAGCCAGCGCGUGCCUGGCGACAGGGUUCAGUUCAAGGAGUACAUACAGAAUAACGUGGCUUUGUAUCAGUUCCGUAAUGGGAUCCCAUUGACCACCGGUGCUGCUGCGUGCUGCUGCCAAUUUCACGUGGCAAGCUCGCCACUGCCCUGCGAAAGAACCCAUGCAUGGUGAACAUCUUGAUGGCUGGUUUCGAAAAGGAGGCGGGGGCAACCCUUUACUACGUCGACUACAUUGCCUCACUUCACAAGGUUGAGAAGGGAGCGUUGGGUCAUAUAAAUUUUGCACCCUCAUUAAUGGAUGGGCACUACCACAGUGGCAUGCCUGUGGAGAAAGCAAUUGACUCGAUCGACAAGUGCAUUGUUUAAGGUCCGGUCACAGCUGGUGGUUGCUCUGCCAAACUUUGUCAUCAAGAUAGUUGACAAGGAUGGGGCGAGGGAGCAGAGGCGGACCGACUUAGGGGCAAGGGGGUCAGCUGACCCUUCAACUGCUUUAUAAAAUGCGUUAGAAAUGUGUUGCAUCUUUACAGUCUAGUCCUCAUAUUAUUUACCUUUGGCUUGUUUGUUGGUUGUGAUUACAAUUGCAGGCAGAAAAAAUGAACCAAGUAAAAAACUAUCCAGAAAUGCAAAGUAAAUGAAAUAAUGAUCUCAGAUAAUAACAAAACAUCAUCAUUCUUGGACAAACAUAUUAAUGAGAUGCAAUGAUAUUAAACAUUGUUAGUGUGUUUAAGAUAAGUGUGUUUCUUUGUUAAGCAUUCAUAUGGGAGCAAUCUUGGAAUAUGUUAGUUACCCACGCAAAUGAGGCAUUAACAAGUGUGCAGUAUGCAUUUCCAAAUGACUUCAGGCCUACUCGAUGAAAUGACAAUAUGCAUGCUAUUUCAGUUAAAAAAAAUUUGCACUCUGCGCACACUAUUCUUACUAACCCCCUUAAUAUUAUUUCCUGAAUCCACUACCGACAGAGAGUAUGCGUGGCGGGAAUCCAUUAGGGAUGCCGGUGUUGUUACUGGUGCUGCAUGCUUUAGUAAUUAAUUAAUUUUAUGUAAUACUGGAUUAUUCAUUUUAUAAGUGGACACUGUUUCUGAAAAAAAAAACAAACAGAGAGAAAAUAAAAUGUUGUUUUGGUGCGUUCCAGUUGUUUUAUACGAAAGGGGCCAAGAACUAGUGGCACUAGCUAUCCGACUUCCAACUAGAGGUCGCCUCGUUUAUUUGAUACGGUAAAUAGUGUGGGGUACGUGAAGGACACAAAAGCAAAAGCAAUGGGACUAGUGGACGACCCCGGACAAGUCCUUAUUAAUGAUCCAAAACACUUUACUGUUAUUUUAUACUAAUUUAUACUAAGCAAGCUGAGGAAGAGUGUGAACCCUAGAAACUUCACAUUAUGACCAUUAGGUCAUUUGAAAUGUAUGUAAACCCUAGCAUUCUCACAUUACGACCAUGUAAUAUAUAAACAUUGCAUCCAACAUGUGAUAAAUUGGUUAUGUUCUUUUUUCACUUCUCACGCGAAUGUCUAGCUACUUCUAGUUCUUUUUUCUUUAACUGAUUGACUAAAUAAAAUAAGUAUUAUUAGUUGGUUUUAAAAAAACAUAUACCUUAGCAUAUCCUCACAUUGUGACUGUGGUAUGUAGACUUUCGGGUCGAACGUGUGGUAAUUGGCCAUCUUCCUUUCUCGCUCGUCAAGCGAUUAUCUCGUUCUGAUUAUCUAUUUGUGACACAUUUACCUUUAACUUUCAGAUUCAAUUGACCCUUUUCGUUUGCUAAAUGUCGUUAUCUUAUUUCUUCAAAGAGUGAAGCUAGUACAAGCCGCUAAAAUUGAAAAUAUAGGAAAAAUCUAAACCUAAAGAUCACCACAUAUUAAAAUAGCAGCAUAAACUAAAUCAAGCAGCAUCUCUCUACUCACAAACUACCGAUUUUAAUUAAUGUUCUGUUCUCUCAUCGAUCCAGAAAAAAAUACAGAUAAGGAGCAGAUAAUUCAAUCAAAGUGGGAUUCAUAAAUAUCAUGGAAUAUAAUAACAAAUAUUCUUCCACCUAAAUAAGUGCGAAAAGCCUGAAACCUCCAUCUCUUCUUCGAUCGAUACAAUCAACCCCAAUGAUUUCAAUCAAGUUAAUAUUAAGCACGGAAAGAGGGGGGGAAAAAAACUAAAUUUACCAAAUUUAGAAAGCAAUGAGAGCUCCAAGAACCAAAAGCGAAAUGGAAAACAAACCCAUGUUUCCUCCAAUCCCAGUCCUCAAAGACCCACUACCGCCGCCAGUGGUGUUAGUGGUGGAGCCACCGCCCGUGGUGGUGUUGGUAGUGGAAUUAGCUACCAAGGGCAAGGUCUCAUAGGACCUGAGAUUGGCGGGGGAGAAGUCAUGCUUUUCAGGGAAACCGGUGGUGGUGUUGACUCCGGGGCCCACCUGCCAGACGUGGUUGACGGACACCGCGUCUUUUUUGACCUUGACGGUGGCGAAGAUCAUGAAGGUGCCGCUGGAGAACUCGGCGCUGACGUCCCAGACGUCGAACGAGAGCUUUCCGGGAAUGAUGGAGGCGUAGGAGCUGAUGUUGUAGGUUGUGACGGUCGGGGUGCCGUUAGCAGUUAGGUGGGCCAGUAGGGCCUGGGACCCGGCCAUUCUUUCGGCUGUGGGGUUGAUGGCCCAGGCGACCCAGCCGUCGGUCUUGGCGGGGGCGGCGACGAAGGCAAUGGAGAGGGAGGAGUUGGAGCGGUCGUACGUCCAGUGGAGGUAGGAGCUGAGGACGGGGAGGUCGGAGCAGUUGGAGUAUAACUUGUUUUUGAAUGUCUGUGAGUUGCAGGUGGCUGCUUGUACGGCCGGCGAGAUUAGCAGAGCCAAUAGGAGGGAAAUGCAUGAAAUCUGGAGGAGAGAGAGAGGGAGAGAGGAAGCCAUUGGAGAGAGAUGAGGGCUUUGUGGAAAGAAAGAAAAAAGAGGGAGAGAGAGUGUGAU
rnacentral:lncRNA from 1 species